ACUUGAAUUGAAGAGUUUGAUCAUGGCUCAGAUUGAACGCUGGCGGCAGGCUUAACACAUGCAAGUCGAACGGUAGCAGGAGAAAGGUUGCUUUCUUGCUGACGAGUGGCGGACGGGUGAGUAAUGCUUGGGAAUCUGGCUUAUGGAGGGGGAUAACGACGGGAAACUGUCGCUAAUACCGCGUAUUAUCGGAAGAUGAAAGUGCGGGACUGAGAGGCCGCAUGCCAUAGGAUGAGCCCAAGUGGGAUUAGGUAGUUGGUGGGGUAAAGGCCUACCAAGCCUGCGAUCUCUAGCU
rnacentral:rRNA from 1 species